CCAAUAGCGUAUAUUAAAGUUGUUGCAGUUAAAAAGCUCGUAGUUGAAUUUCGAGACCGGCUUACUGGUCGUGCUUUUGUGCGUACUGGUAUAAUCGGUUUCUCCUUUCUGACGAACUUUAAUGCCAUUAAUUUGGUGUUUUAGGGAAUCAGGACUGUUACUUUGAAAAAAUUAGAGUGUUUAAAGCAGGCUCACGCUUGAAUACAUUAGCAUGGAAUAACGGAAUAGGACGUUUGAUUCUAUUUUGUUGGUUUCUAGGAUCGACGUAAUGAUUAAUAGGGGUAGUUGGGGGCAAUAGUGUUCAAUUGUCAGAGGUGAAAUUCUUGGAUUUAUUGAAGACUAACUACUGCGAAAGCAUUUGCCAAGGAUGUUUUCAUUAAUCAAGAACGAAAGUUAGGGGAUCGAAGACGAUCAGAUACCGUCGUAGUCUUAACCAUAAACUAUGCCGACUAGGGAUCGGAUGAUGUUAAUUUUUUAAUGACUCAUUCGGCGCCUUACG
rnacentral:rRNA from 1 species